CGCGUAACACNUAAGCAACCUGCCUCGAAGUGGGGGAUAGCCCUCCGAAANNGGGAUUAAUACCGCAUGUGGACAACCGGCGGCAUCGUUGGUUGUCUGAAGCAGCAAUGCNCUUCGAGAUGGGCUUGCGGCCUAUCAGCUAGUUGGUGGGGUAACGGCCUACCAAGGCGACGACGGGUAGCUGGUCUGAGAGGAUGGUCAGCCGGACUGGGACUGANAUACGGCCCANACUCCUACGGGGGGCAGCAAUUAGGAAUCUUGCGCAAUGGGCGAAAGCCUGACGCAGCGACGCCGCGUGACCGAUGAAGUCUCUCGGGAUGUAAAGGUCUUUUUUGGGGGAAGAAGGAUGUGACGGUACCCCAAGAAUAAGCCCCGGCUAACUACGUGCCAUCCAGCCGCGGUAAUACGUA
rnacentral:rRNA from 1 species